rnacentral:rRNA from 1 species
GGAGUUUGGACCGUGUCUCAGUUCCAAUGUGGGGGACCUUCCUCUCAGAACCCCUACUGAUCGUCGACUUGGUGAGCCGUUACCUCACCAACUAUCUAAUCAGAAGCGUGCUCAACCAUAAUCCUUACGUUUCACUACGAAGAGAUGCCUCUCCAUAGCACAUGGGGAAUUAAUCCAACUUUCGUUAGGCUAUGCCCCGAUUAUGGGCAGAUUGCACACCCGUUACGCACCCGUGCGCCGGUCGCCGACAAAGAAAGCAAGCUUUCCUCUCGCUGCCCCUCGACUUGCAUGUGUUAGGCCUGUCGCUAGCGUUCAUC